UAACAGUACCGAGAGUUCGUGAGGGCUCACUCAGGUGAUGUGUCUCGGUACUGUUACUCUUUCAGUUGUCGAGUUAUUUAAUGAAGGUGAAGAUUGCAAGACGAAAGGAUCAUCGGUGGCUAGCUACUCCAGAAGCGUCACAGGAAGAUCUCGGCAUUCGAGGCAACGGGGUGAAUAUAUACUUCUCGUGGUCAACAUUAACGAUUGAGAACGGUCAUUUAUUCUCGAGGAUUUUGGAGAUGGCUAGCGGAACUCGCCGGGAACAUAGGUCGACCGAAGCUAGUUAGAAACCGUUUGAUUUGAGUUAUUUUGUUCAAGUCGGUUUGCAAUUGAAUCCUAAUUUCUGGUUUCGGGUUGAUUAUAAUUAAUAUUAAAAAAAUAGAGAUGUGGGAAACAUGUAAAUAAAUAUGUUAUCUCUGCAAUUAAGUAAGGUUCAUGUCCCCCGGUUCCAUUUCGAUUAAAAAAAAAGAAGGAUGGGUUGUGAUUAGUUUUUUUUAUUAUCGACUAUAAUGUUUAUGUCUAGGGACAUUAUAAAGGAAAACAUAACCAGUUCAGCAGUUGCGGUUGGGUUUGAUUGGACAGCUUAGAGAAGAUUUAAUUUAUGCGGACGCGAAACUUUAGACGGCGAGAGUCUGAUUUGCAUACAGAAGUGGAAGCACUACGAUAUACAAUGGAGAGUAUCCUACAACAUUCGACAUGCCAUAGUUUUGGGACAGAUUGCAAGGAUCUGAUCGCGAUGAUAAAUGAACCGUAUGCUUGGCCAAAUUUUACAACAUAAUUGGAGGCGAUAAAGACUCUGCAGAUAUGUUUUCCAGAUUCAAGAUUACUUAAAUCCCAAGAGUACAAAAUAUAAUUUCAUGAUUUUUUAUAGAAAUGUCUUUUCAUAGGGAGCUUUGUUUCAUUUGGUCGUUCUAUUCUGGUUUCCGGAUCAACCGAAGUUUAAAUAAUAACAUAACUAUUUGUUGUAAAAAAGAAGAAGGAAAACGUAGCUUUUAAUGAUAUGAUUUAUACGAUUCUCCAAGAAAAGCAUUUAAUUUUAACAUUGCAUGCUUAAGAGUUCCAUCGAAUAUACAUACAUGUUUAAGAACUAUUAAAUAUUUUAUAUAUCUGUGAAAGGGAAAAUAUCCUUAGAUAUGAUCUAUAAAAGUAUAUAUUACCAUUUUUGCCGAGAAAAAAUAAACAAAAUAGUUAGGAGAUUUUCCAUAUUCUAUAGUAUCUAAGCUUUCCAUAAUUCGAAGUUAAAUAGUAAUAGAAAACAUCAUCGUUUCGGUUGAAUCUACAUUCUCAUAAUAUUUUCAGUAUAUAUAUAUAUACAAGAAGAGUAGUUCAUAAACUUCAAAAGGCAGGAUGCAGAGCUUGGGACUCGUGGCGGUUAUAGGCGUCUUUGUCUGUUUAAUAAUCUUGAUUUGUUUCGCAGUUUUUGUAAGUUACGUAUACUUUUGGAAAAAUGUCGAUGAUUCACAAUCGUGAUUGUAAGUUAUUUAACGAUGUUUAAUAUCUCUUUUGUAUGGUAGGCAGUUUAGUGUUUUUGAUUUAUAUGUUUGGUAGUGUAUCUCAAUUUUUACUCUUCAAUAGAGUACACUACUAUAUAAUUUUUUUUUUUUUUUUUUUACAUUACUAUAUAAUUGGUUUGUUCAUAACCAAAAGAACAUAAAUAUCUAUUGGGAAGAUGAGUAGAAAAACCUUAAAAAGUCUUGCCCUUUUUCUUAACCGACGAGUCAUGAUCUUGUGUCAAAAUCAUCAUCUUUUGAAUACGUCAAACGAAGCCGACUUAAAUCUACACCCGUAAUAUAAUCUUCAAAAACAAGUAAACCGUCAACAAAUAAUUGCUUCUCCAAACACCAAACAAUGAAAAGGAGGAAACAAAUGAUUAGGUAGUACCCCCAAAAAGAAAAUGUCUUGUUUCCUUCCUGGUUCGGUGUAGACAAGUUUUGUAAUCGUUUGUUUCUCUGUUAUUCCCGGGGAAAGUUUUCAUUUUUAUUUGGAUUGAAAAACUUUUAUAAAUGUGGGAAGCCGUCGCAGAACCAGCAGAUUCGUCCUGAGUGCACCCAUGUCCCCAAUACCAGAUUCAAGAACUCCUUUCCCUUACUACUUGGAACCGUUUCUCUGUCAUCAAUGAGAUUGACCAUUGCAGUUUCAAGAUCAGAUUGAAGAGAACAACAUCAUUAGUUAUGAAUGCAAAUGCCAUGUUUAUGCCUAUUCUGAUGGAUAGUGAUUAUAAUGAUAGUGAUUGUUGAUCUUACUGUUCUUUUUAAUUAAGUUGGUAUUCUCCUCAUGCUUGUGUUUAGAGAAAAAGCAGAUUCAUCACUGGAUUUGUAGUUUUAGUUACAUUUGGGAGGUGAAUUAUGUGUUAUAUUAUUAAUCUUGAUCUGAUCAAACAAGAUAAGAUAGCAUUUACUAGUUAUGUGCUUAAAUUCUAUAUUGCUGAUCUUUGUCUUACUUUAUUAACAACAUAUUUAGUAGUGGCAUCACAAUAUUUAUUGAUUAUGUUAAAGAGAAUGGCAGAGAGAGUCUACUAUGUUUGCUGACAAGUACCUGUCUUUUUCCUUAGGGUUAUGUUGCUUGCAGCCUGGUAAAACUCUGAAAAUGGCAGGCUGCCUCUUUACACAGGAAGGAUUCCUAGAUAUUGGCAAGAAGACUCUUAAGUCGAAUGAAUCCUACGAGGGGGGAUCCAUCCAUCGAUUAGAGGAGAAGUGUGGGAGUUCUCACUUGGGCGUUAUGAUCCAAAGAGCACUUUUGAAGAAAGAGAGCAAAUCCGACAACGUACAAGGUCUUGAUGUAAACCGCACGGACAGGAAAUUGGCAUUCUACGAAAAUAAAGGGAAUUUGUCUAAGCUUUGGGACAUUCUUUCUAGCUCUUCUUUACGCUUGGAUAGACAACGACGUUGGGUAUUGCCAAGGUAUUAGGAGAAGCGACUGGGAGUUCAGGUUACAAGUAUCAGUAAUCUAUGUCGCCGCACACACAAGCGCAAGUAUUGCAAGGGAUAGCAGAGUCAUUGUAAGAAGCAGAGAAAUAGAGGCAGCAACGCACAGCUUGAGGUUUUAGUUUGGUGAUGUAGUAAGUAAGACAUGGCUUGUAGACCACCUGGGUGAAGGAACUUUAUUGCCAGUUUCUUGCGUAUGACUGAAGAAGGUCGUAGACAAUAUUUUGAUCUCCAAACUUUAAAUUGCCAAAAAUACCAUUUUUAAAAUUAUAUUUUUCAUGUUUACGCUAACCACUUUUAUCCUCAUCAGGGUAAAAUACAUUUAUAACCCUUUGAUUAAAUUUGACCAAAAAAAACUUAUUAUUAACUAAUUUAAACUUA